GCUCAGUUAGUUGAGUGCCUGACUCUUGAUUUGGGCUUAGGUCAUGGUCUCGCAGUUCGUGGGUUCGAGCCCCACAUUGGGCU
rnacentral:tRNA from 1 species